UCAUGCAAUAAAUAAAAAUUUAAAUUUCACAUGUUUAAAAAUUUAUUUAUUUUUUUAUUCCUAAGGACUCCUAAUUGGGUAACACCAUUGGACAAAUAUUUUUGAUUAAAAUCCUUUACUAUUCAAAAAAAAAAUUACUAAAAAAAUGCUAAGGACUCCAAUGGUAGUAACACCAUUCGAGAUGCUCUAACAUAUAUUUUCCAAAACAGUUAAGAAAUAAGUUAAUUGUAGUUUUUUUUUUCCUUUCAACUUUGUGUGUGUGUUUCAGUCUGAGCUAGAUCUCCAAUCACCAGGCCCGUCUCAACUCCUAAAAGGGUCAUGUGCCAUAAAAAAAUUUAAAACUCAUUUCCUUAUACAAAAAUUACUUCUAAACAUUUAGGCCCUAAUCUAAGCUAAAAAAACCCAAAAAUUUCAACAGGCCUUGUGCAAAUGUGUCUCCAGCACAUGCUUAGGACCGGGCCUGCCAAUCACAAUAAUAUUUUUGAAUAUAUGGUUGAUUCAGUGUGGAAAUUUUCAAAUGUAGUUAGUUGUUCUUAGAAAGGUAGAGUAUCGAGUUACAAUUGUUGUGUUGAAGGAUUUGAAAUACAUUAGAGUGUGUUGCUGUCUAGUAUCACUUUGGUGCAAUGGAUCUUUAUUCCGAUAGUCAACCAUUGCUACAUAUCGUGGUUGAUCCCGGCCCAUGUUUCAAACGUAAAAUCUGAUUGUCAUUUCAUCAAAGACAAGAUACAAGUCGAGAUUUUUAGGACAAAAUACUUUUCUAUGACUAUAACCGAACAAUUGGUGGAUAUCUUCACGAAAGCAUUUCGUAAACGACUUUUUCAGACGAUUAUAUCCAAGUUGAGCAUUUUCGAUCUCUAUAUUCCAACUUGAAGUGAUGUUAAGAAAUACAACUUUAUCAUGUAUUGUAGUGGUACAUAUUUCAGGUUUAGAGAUAAUUUUAUUAUGAGAAUAUCUAUAUAACUUAGACAAAUGAUUGUACACCUUUGAAAGAUCAUAAUAACAUUCUCUUUGUAUCUUUCUUACCACGGUGUUGCAAUUGGAUGUUUUGAUAGAGGAAGAUGUAAACUUCAAGUAUUGUGUUACAAAAAAAGAAAAAGAAGUAAACUUCAAGUACAAUCACCCGACUUUUAGGAUCGAUUAAACUCGUUUGUGAGUGACAUCAGUUGACAACUUGCAAAAAGAACACAGCGUUAUUCUUUACAUUUGGCAAUACCAACACUAAACAAUCUAAUUCUGUAGAGUUUACCGCAUAAUUAUUGAGAAUGUAUUAUAGAAGGCUUUUUGUCAAUUUAAAAUAUGUUUCCCCUCUAUAUGUGAAGCAUUGAAUUCUUUUAUUUGAUGGGAUAUAAACACUGUUUAGUCUGUUUAAACAAAUUCAAAGAUUCUGAACUCAUUACGUUGCAUAGAUAAGGGAAUCAUAGAUAAACACAACCAAAUUGAUAAAACAACAAGAAUCAUCAAAGAACAUCACUGAAAAAAAAAAACAGAGAACAAAAAAACUUAAAGAUUAGAGCAGGAGCCGAUAUAACACCUUUGUAGGUUCGAAGAGGAUCAAGCCUAUCCAUGACUUGCCGGUUCAACCCCACCGCUUUAGCCGGGCCAGUUUGGAGAAUCAACACAACCAUCGGUUAAUCAAGAGCAGGGAGUGAACAUUGUAUUUUUUAAGCUUCCAUGAAAGCUUAUCUGAAGCUCCCCAUUUGGUUUCAACCUUCUAACUUUUAUCCAAUUUAAGGAGAUAUUGAUUAAGCUUCCAUGGCUAAAAAUGGGGAGAGAGAGCCUGUCUUCCUACUUCUUGUCUUUUUAUAGAAUUUUUCUCUACUUUUUUAAAAGGAAAUUUGAUUCUUGUUUUUGAUUAAAAAAUUCUUGUUCAUAACCAAAAAAAAAAAAAAAAAAAAACUACGUGUAACUUUAUUUUGUUAUUGGAGAGGUAGUAAAUGUUAAAAAGGUUAAAACCAAUAAUACGAGUCUAGGUAAAUUACUGUUUACAAUGAUUAAUUUAUACGCAAAAAAAAAAAAAAAAGGUCUCGAGUGCAUGGAGGGACCCCAAGUCCACAACCAAUCGCUUUAAUUGUGGUGGAUCAACUGCUUGUUUGUCUAUUUUCAAUUGGAGGCUCAUCGUUUAAAUUUAUUUAUUUUGUUAUUUUGUACUCUGUUAUGAAUAUUUCUACGAAAUUCUGACUAUACUUCCACUAAAAGUCACAGUUGGCUUUUUAGAACAUGUUAAAAGCAUAAAGUAAUUUUACUAUUAGCUCUGCUGCAAAUGGCUUUUUAGAACAUGUUAAAAGCAUAAAAUAAUUUUACUAUUGGCUCUGCUGCAAAUAUUGAGAAAUCUCUAACAAACAUGAAAAUAAUAAGAAAAUAGACAUUUGACUUGUAUAUUUUAUAUUUGUUUUCUUAAACGCAAUUUACUCUCAUUAUACACUCAACUUGUUCAACUGCAAACGAUGAUAAAUAAAUAAAUAAAUAUAUAUAUAUAUAUAUAUAUAUAUAUAUAUAUAUAUAUAUAUAUAUAUAUAUAUAUAUAUAUAUAUAUAUAUCUUCUUUGAUAAAAACAUAAACAACAAUAUCACAUGAAGUUAAUGAAGAUAAUUCUUCAUAAGAAAAUGACAUCAAGUUCGAGACAAAGAGAGCCUCCAGAACAAAGUCGGACAGUUGAAAGUUAGUCCCAUUGAAUUGUGACCUUGAAAGCCAACCUUACAUGCAAGAAAAGUCGAAGUAUUUUCCGAUUGCAUCUUUUGAUUUCAUACAGACCGCUAUAUACGAUGAUAAACUGGUGAGUAACCUGAAACUAUUGUUUGACAAAGAAUCUGAGAAGAUUUCUCAUGUAUAGAAGUAUGGUAGUAAUAUACUUUUCUCGCUCGAGAAAGAUGAUGAAAACAAAACUGGAUCCGAUGAACCCAUCAAAAAUCUUUAGGGAUAUGGUAAAACAACCAAAUGCAUAAGACAUAAUAUGGGUAGGUCUCGAUGAACUCACCGGAAAUCCUUUCGAUCAAACUGAAACUUGUAUCAGCCACGCUGUCAAGAAUCCAUUUCUGCAUCAUAUCAUUUGUUUCAAAUUUAGUGACAAAGCGACAUAGUUUUGAUAUUUAUUAAAUAGCUAACGUUUGUCUUGUCAUUUAUACACAAUGUUCUAUGUUGAGGAUUGAUCAUCACUUCAUAGAUUGACCUAUAGAAUUUAGAAUUCACAAAAUAAAUUGCAAAACAAAAAACACAUUGAGGAAUUUUUCUUCUGAAAACUCUAAUAAAAAUAAUUAAAAAAAAGAUAUAUAAAAAAAGAAAUUAGCAUAAUUGUGAGGAAACCUAUCUUAAUUAGGGGAAAGAAGAGACGCGUCUUCUGAGACACGUGUUGUGUUUUGUGGAAAUUUUUCUCUCUCUCGACGGAAGCACUUCAUGUCUCUCUCCCUCGCUCCAUUUCGUCGAAAUCACUCCGUCUCUCUAUCUCUCCUCGACGACUCCGCCGGUGAUUUCUUCAUCUGCCAACGAUCGGAUGAAGGAUUCGGCUUCUCUCUCGUCGGACUCGUCGUCUCUGUCGGUGGACUCCAUGUCUGUCUUGGUGGAAUCGUCGUCUCUCUCUCUCUCCUCGACGACUCCGCGUCUCUCUCGCUCUCUUCGACGACUCCGUGUCUCUCUCGGUCUCCUUGACGACUCCACAUCUCUCUCGGUCUCCUCGACGACUCCGCGUCUCUCUCGCUCUCCUCAACGGCUCACCUCGUUGAAGAAUCACUCCAUCUCUCUCUCUCUCCAGCCUGUGGCUCUCCUCGAAAGGUAAAGCUAUGUAUUUUUCCUUUUAUGUCUGAAUCCUUCUUUGUUAUUUUGAUUUGUUUGUUGUGUUGCAUGCGUCUCUUGUGUUUGUUUAUGUCUCCUGAUUCAAGAGAUGAUGUUUUUGUCUUUGUUUCUUAAUCCUUCUUGUGAUUGUUUAUGUCUCUGUCUUUGUUUAUAUCGAUCACUUCUGAUUCAAUAGAUGAUGUCUUCUGAUAAAUAUAUCGAUCAGUUCUUGUAUUUGUUUACGUCUCUGUCUUUGAUUCAACAUAUUAUGUCUCUUUGUGUACACUUAAAUUUCUCAGUCUUUUUUUCUUAAUCCUUCUUGUGUCUGAUCCUUCUUGUCUUGAUUAUGUUUCUUGCGUUUCCGUUUCAGAUGGACGGAUCAAGAGACAUGAAGGUUCUUCAAAGAAGAGGACUGUGGUCUGGACGGAUCAAGAGACAAUGGCUAUUUCAGGUUUGACAUAUAUCUUUGAUCUGUUAGAUGUUUUUAGGAUUGUGAUCUGGAACGAAUUGAUUGUGAAUCUCAUCUGAAAUGAAUUGAUUGCGAAUCUGGUUAAGUGUCUAGAACGAAUUGAUUGUCAGUGGCUUGGAACGAAUUGAAAUGAGUUAGAUAGAAAUGAGUUACAUAGAAUUGUUUCAGUGUGAUUAAUGAGUUAGAUAGAAAUCAAUGUUUAAGUGUGAUUAAUGAGUUAGCUAUAUGUCAAGUCGAUGUGGUUGUGGGUGUGAUGAAUGCGUUUAGCUUUCUCUCUUCUAUUAAACACAAGCCUUCUUUUCUUCCAUCUUUCAAACUCGCCCUCCUUUCUUUUUUGUCAUAUCUUCCAUCUAUAUUCUUAGACAUAUUCAGAUAUGGAUUCUAAUCCAAAUAUGAAUUUAAAUUUUGUUGAUCUUCUUCAAAAUCAACAAGAUAGUGGCAUCGGUUUCGAAUCUUCUCAUAUUCCUUUAUUUGGCACACAAGCUACUGAUGGUUCAAACUUCGAACAAGACAGUCCAGUGGAGCGUAAAGAAUGAAGGACGUGGACGCCAACAGAUGAUGUAGCCCUCAUCAGCUCUUGGUUAAACACGAGCAAAAAUCUCGUUGUAGGGAAUGAGCAAAGGUCUGUUGCUUUCUGGAAAAGGAUUGCAGCCUACUACUCGGCUAGUCCUAAGAUUGUUGAGUGUGACAAAAGAGAGGCAUCAAAUAGUAAACAACGUUGGCACAAGAUUAAUGACUAAGUGUGCAAGUUUUGUGGAGCGUAUGAAGCAACAACCAGAGAGAAAACCAGUGGUCAAAACGAGAAUGUUGUUCUCAAACAUGCUCUCGAAAUCUUCUUCAACAACCAUAAAAAGAAGUUCACCCUUGAACAUGCUUGGAAGGAGAUUCGCAAUUACCAGAAGUGGUGUGACCUGUCUUCAUCUACAAGUGAAGGAAGCUCCAAAAGGAGGAAGUGUGAGGACGGUUCAUAUUUAGCAUGCUCUCAAGCAAAUGAAACCGAUAGUGCUUUAGCUGAUGAAGGAACCACUCGUCCCACGGGUGUUAAGGCAGCAAAAGCCCGUGGGAAAAAACCGAUGGUUGAGGGGAAGGAGCUGUCUAAGUUUCAGACUAUGUGGAAAAUCAAGCAGCAUGAUUUGGCUAUGAAGGAAAAGCUGUCAAAGAUGAAGCUUCUGGACAGUCUCAUUGCAAAAUAAGAACUGCUAGCUGAUUAUGAAGAAGCUCUGAAGAAGAAGUUGAUUAAUGAGUUGAUGUCUAAUUAGAUGAAGUCUAAGUCUCGGUUUUUAAAGUCUAAGUGUAGCUGUUGAAGUUGCUUUGUUUGUUGUUUGUUGCUGUAACUCUGGUUGUGUUUCAUGUUCUCUUGUCUUAAUAUAAGCUUGUUCUCUUGUCUUAAUAUAAGCUUGUUCUGUAAUGUUCUUGUGUUCAUUGUUCUGCUCAUUGUUUUGCAGGUCAAGAAGAUUGAAAAAUUGUAGCUCAUUGUACAUGUCCAGUUUUGUCACUUUGUUUCAAGACAUUGGGAGCAUUGAGAGCUUCUUAUGUCACGGAGUGGGAGCAUUGAGUGGUUGUCACAUGUAUUGUGUGUCGUUGGUUGUCACAUGUUUAUGUCCUGUAGUGGGAGCAUUAAGAGCUAUGUUUGUUAUGUACAUAAAGACAUUGUACUUGUGUGUCGUUGUUGUCACAUGUUUAUGUCUUGUAGUAUGUCACAGACUUGUAAAGAACACUUGUAACAAACACUUGUGUCUAUAUAACAAACCCUCUCGACUUGUAACAAACAUUUGUAACAAACACUCUUGCUUUCUCUCUUUUUCUCUCUUAAAUCAACAUUCACUCUUCCCAUUCACAACAAGAAUUUUUAUCCACAACACCAAAGUCAUCUUAUCUCUUUAAUCACAACACUCUUUCUUUAAUCACAACAUAUAUACAUAUAUAUAUAUAUAUGGCUUCUUCUUCUAAAAACACUUUAGAGGAAUCAUUUGAUGAUACAUUUGAUCAAAUCUUUGAUCAACAUUUUGAUCAAACAUUUGAGAAUUUUACCAUUCAUGGUGAUCAAGAAGAACAAAAGAAAAAAAAAACGAGCUUCUAUCGAAAGAAAUCGUAAAGAAUGUCAUGUACGUUUAUGGAAUGAUUAUUUCAGUGAAACUCCAACG